rnacentral:lncRNA from 1 species
GGAGUGGCAGGGAGAGAGGAAUAAAGAACAGGGAAAGCAGCUGGCAUGCAGGAAGCAGGCACUUGCUCAUGCUGCCUGGUUUACAUGGUAGCGUAUGCAUCUGCUUCACGCAGGACUCGCACUAGAGCUUGAAACCAAGGAGGGACUUGCUUUCCUUAGAGGUGAGAAGGGGCCAAGCCUUUAAGGCUCCCUUUGCCUAUUGAAAGGGCAUUUGUUGCCCUCUGGUGUUUACUCUAAGGAGAGCGCCUGUGGAGAAGGGCUGCAGGGCCACGCGGCCUGGCCGCUGGGGUGGCUGCACCAGGGACAUCCAGGGGCACCGGCUGUACAAGGGACUGAGAAAGUAACUGGUUUGCAUUGCUCUUCUUCAUAUAAUAUCUUGGACGCAGUCAUGUAAUCAAAAAAUGAGCAUGAGGACAACAAAACACAUGCUGUGCUUGCUGUUAGAAAUUGCCCAGAUGCUGUACUGAGCUUCUGUAAUCUGUGGUCCGUGCCCGCAGUUCCAUACAGGUCCCCAACCUUGGGAGCUGAAUUGCAGUGUAGAUGGAAGAAGCCAGCUGCAGCAGUCUUACUGGCCUUUGGUAAAGGAAGCAGCUUGUUCAAGUCCAACCAUUUUGUUUGUUUGCAUGUUCUGCAACUGCACAGCUUGGGCAAUACCAUCAGUUUAAAGGCAAUAUAUACUGUCUGCUCAUUAAAACUUGAGAAUUGGAAAGGCUUCCAAAUGGAUUUGCUUCUCAGAAGUAUCAGAAAAAUGCAGGGAAUUCAACGAUUUAAGGAAGAACACCUACAUCUUGUUAUUGUCAGCUAUGUCAUUACAGCUUACUGAAGUCCUUUAGAAAUGAAGUGGCUAAACAACCACUAGCUGAUCAUUCUGUUGGUAUAUGUCAGGCUUACAACUAUGUCAUGAACAUGCAAUGAUUUAAGAAAAAUGACAAGUGCAUAGGUACUUUGUUGAUAAAAGGUUUUUGUUUUUUUGUGUUUUUUUUUGUGGUUUUUUUUUUUUAAUAAAAAACA